rnacentral:rRNA from 1 species
CCUACGGGAGGCAGCAGUGAGGAAUAUUGGUCAAUGGGCGGGAGCCUGAACCAGCCAAGCCGCGUGAGGGAAGAAGGUACAGCGUAUCGUAAACCUCUUUUGUCAGGGAACAAAGGCGGGGACUAGUCCCCGGAUGAGGGUACCUGAAGAAAAAGCAUCGGCUAACUCCGUGCCCGCAGCCGCGGUAAUACGGAGGAUGCGAGCGUUAUCCGGAUUUAUUGGGUUUAAAGGGUGCGCAGGCGGCCUUUUAAGUCAGCGGGAAAAGCCCGGGGCUAAACCCCGGCGAGCCGUUGAAACUGGCGGGCUGGAGUUGGAGAGAAGUACGCGGAAUGCGCGGUGUAGCGGUGAAAUGCUUAGAUAUCGCGCAGAACCCCGAUUGCGAAGGCAGCGUACCGGCUCCACACUGACGCUGAGGCACGAAAGCGUGGGUAUCGAACAGGAUUAGAUACCCGAGUAGUC